rnacentral:rRNA from 1 species
GACGUAGGGAGCAAGCGUUGUCCGGAAUUACUGGGCGUAAAGAGCUCGUAGGCGGGACCGUAAGUCCGAGAGGAAAUCUCAAGGCUCAACUUUGGGGCUUUCUUGGAUACUGCGGUUCUUGAGGAUGAGAGAGGUAAGUAGAAUUCCCGGUGUAGCAGUGAAAUGCGUAGAUAUCGAGAGGAACACCAGUGGCGAAGGCGAGUCUCUAGACAUUUCCUGACGCUGAGGCACGAAAGCCAGGGGAGCAAACGGG